rnacentral:rRNA from 1 species
AUUCCAGCUCCAAUAGCGUAUAUUAAAGUUGUUGCAGUUAAAAAGCUCGUAGUUGGAUUUCUGGGAGGGUGCCAAUGUCCGUCGUCGUACGUGUUGCAGCGGCGCCCUUCCAUCCUUCUGUUAACGACUUUGGGCAUUCACUUGCCGGAGUCGGGCUCAGAUAUUUUACCUUGAGAAAAUUAGAGUGUUCAUAGCAGGCUAGUGCUUGAAUAUUACAGCAUGGAAUAAUGGAAUAGGAUCAUGAUCUUAUUUUGUUGGUUUCUAAGAUUAAGAUAAUGAUUAAUAGGGAUGGUUGGGGGCAUUAAUAUUUAGUUGUCAGAGGUGAAAUUCUUAGAUUUACAAAAGAUUAACUUCUGCGAAAGCAUUUGCCAAGGAUGUUUUCAUCA